rnacentral:sRNA from 1 species
AGUUAGGUGUUUAGAGAGAGAAAGAAAGAAAAAAAAAGCCCUAUAAUAGCUUGGGAAUUGUUGGAAAGAAAUUCAAAGUUACUAAACUAUCAAGGUUCCAACGAAGCCCCAUUAUCCCAAUUGGAUCAUUGGGGAGGUUAGAGUUGGCUAAAGGCUCAACUACUACCGAUUACGAGGCAGUUGGUAACUAGGUCGAGGUGCCUUUGCAGACUCGACUAUUGGUAGGUGUCUCGGUAUUUUGUAGCUGUAUGUUCGUCAAGUUUUUUCGUUGGACAUCGAGUCUCUUUUUGACAUGUAUAGACAAAUCUAAUGUUAAUUAUUAGAAUACAUACUGUAGACAAUGUAUGUAUAUUUUAAACGAGUAGUGUCAGUACGAGUUGGCAAU